rnacentral:rRNA from 1 species
CAAUAGCGUAUAUUAAAGUUGUUGCGGUUAAAAAGCUCGUAGUUGGAUUUCUGCCGAGGACGACCGGUCCGCCCUCUGGGUGUGUAUCUGGUUUGGCCUGGGCAUCUUCUUGGAGAACGUAGCUGCACUUGACUGUGUGGUGCGGUGUCCAGGACUUUUACUUUGAGGAAAUUAGAGUGUUUCAAGCAGGCACACGCCUUGAAUACAUUAGCAUGGAAUAAUAAGAUAGGACCUCGGUUCUAUUUUGUUGGUUUCUAGAGCUGAGGUAAUGAUUAAUAGGGAUAGUUGGGGGCAUUCGUAUUUAACUGUCAGAGGUGAAAUUCUUGGAUUCGUUAAAGACGGACUACUGCGAAAGCAUUUGCCAAGGAUGUUUUCAUUGA